CCUACGGUGGGCUGCAGUGGGGAAUAUUGGACAAUGGGGGGAACCCUGAUCCAGCCAUGCCGCGUGUGUGAAGAAGGCCCUCGGGUUGUAAAGCACUUUCAGUGAGGAAGAACGCCUGGUGGUUAAUACCCAUCAGGAAAGACAUCACUCACAGAAGAAGCACCGGCUAACUCCGUGCCAGCAGCCGCGGUAAUACGGAGGGUGCGAGCGUUAAUCGGAAUUACUGGGCGUAAAACGCGCGUAGGUGGCUUGAUAAGCCGGUUGUGAAAGCCCCGGGCUCAACCUGGGAACGGCAUCCGGAACUGUCAAGCUAGAGUGCAGGAGAGGAAGGUAGAAUUCCCGGUGUAGCGGUGAAAUGCGUAGAGAUCGGGAGGAAUACCAGUGGCGAAGGCGGCCUUCUGGACUGACACUGACACUGAGGUGCGAAAGCGUGGGUAGCAAACAGGAUUAGAUACCCUGGUAGUC
rnacentral:rRNA from 1 species